ACACCCAGAGCAGAAGUUCUACUUCAGCCAGAUCAGGCCUGCAAAGAAACUGCGUUUCACAGGCCUUUGUAAGAGAUGUUCCCGGUAGGCUGUUAGAGCACUGUGCAGAGCGAGUUGUUUCUUAGCUUCCCAACGAGCUGGAAGCAAGAUGCUUUAGGGGCCAUCUGCCCUUAAGGAAAGAAGGCAGCACUUUGUGCCUUGCAGCUCUAGGGCAAUGUAGCACACCCAGAGCAGAUGUUCUACUUCUGCCAGAUCAGGCCUGCAAAGAAACUUCGUUUCACAGGCCUUUGUAAGAGAUGUUCCCGGUAGGCUGUUAGAGCACUGUGCAGAGCGACUUGUUUCUUAGCUUCCCAAAGAGCUGGAAGCAAAAUGCUUUGAGACUCAUCUGCCCCUUUGGAAAGAAGGCAGCACUUUGUGCCUUGCAGCUCUAGGGCAAUGUAGCACACCCAGAGCAGAAGUUCUACUUCAGCCAGAUCAGGCCUGCAAAGAAACUGCGUUUCACAGGCCUUUGUAAGAGAUGUUCCCGGUAGGCUGUUAGAGCACUGUGCAGAGGGAGU
ensembl:lncRNA